CUUAAUUUGACUCAACGCGGGGAAACUCACCAGGUCCAGACACAAUAAGGAUUGACAGAUUGAUAGCUCUUUCUUGAUCUUGUGGUUGGUGGUGCAUGGCCGUUCUUAGUUGGUGGAGUGAUUUGUCUGGUUAAUUCCGAUAACGAACGAGACCUUAACCUGCUAAAUAGACCAGCCGGCUUUGGCUAGCUGCUGUCUUCUUAGAGGGACUAUCAGCGUUUAGCUGAUGGAAGUUUGAGGCAAUAA
rnacentral:rRNA from 1 species